rnacentral:lncRNA from 1 species
GGGAUGCGCUGAGAGCGGGAUGCGCUGGGAUCCCUCCCCGUGCAGCCGCCUGCGGAGCCCUUUAGAUGUCGCGCUGGAGCAGCGAGUCCCCCGUGAGCCCUCGGCCUCCUCCUCCCGCUGCUCUUCCAGCUCCCCUCCAGCCCGGCCGCGGCAGGCUCCGUUUGAGCCUUGGUCCCUUCUCCUCCCACUGCCAACUCUCUUCCCAGCCCUGGGUCCUGAGCCAGCUCCCGGUGAUGCUGCCCCAUGGACGGGGAGAGCCCUGCCUGGAGGAGGAGAUGGAGACUCCAGGGGGACAUGGGAGGGUGGGGUGGUCUCCAAGAGACCCUCAGCCCAGUGUGGAACCUCUCUGAGCAGAGCUGCCCAGGUGUGAAGUAUCCUUCUGCUGGCACAAUAAAUUGCAUUUCCAGUCCUCUUUGGGGGCCUGU